rnacentral:misc_RNA from 1 species
UAAGAAAAUGAGAAAAUAAAAUUUAAAUUAUGAACAACAAAAAACAGCAAACUGAUAAAUCUAGACUGUUAGUAGACAAGAUAGCAGGUUGGGAAGUGAGAAAAGAAAGGUAGCAUGGUCACCACCUGAUGCGAUGAGAUAACAUCUCAAAUUUUGUAUAGGAACAAUAUUUAUACUGCAUGGAUUCUGGUGUGCAGUUGAAGUGUGCAGACUCAUCUAAUGCCAAUUUCAAAGGAAAAGCGAAGGGCCAAUAUUAUCAUAAGUUAUCAAAUCAAGUUGCAGCUGCAACUUAUGUGGAAGAUAGGAAGGGCUAGGAAAGCUUCUACCGGUUAACAAGACCUGACUAUGCAACCUAAAGCAGAGUUUCAAAUUUCUAAUUCUCUGUAUUGGCACGAGAGAAGGCAGAGAAGAAAAUUAUCCAACUCAUAUUUUAUGAAUCAUCAAGUUACAACUAUUCUGUGAAUCAUUGUACACUCGCAAAAGAGGUAACAAUUAAGUUGGUAUGGGUUCAGGAAACCCAUAUUCAGGCUCAGGUUGGUUAGAUUAAAUCCACCCAAGUUGCAGACUUACGUGCUAGCUCCAAAAUAAUUUAAACAAAUAACAUCAUAUAUUUCAGGUGCAAAAUGCCAUGCAACCUAAAAAUAGUAUUCAUGCUAAAUUUUAGCUUCACUGUCCAUCCCUUGUGUCAUGCAUAAUCACUUGAUAUACCCCCCAUAUUUAAAAAGAGCACAUGUAGCUUCGGCCACAUCUAUAAAAUGCUGAACCAGUUGCUGCAGUUGUAUAACUUUUA